rnacentral:rRNA from 1 species
AUUGAACGCUGGCGGAAUGCUUUACACAUGCAAGUCGAACGGUAGAGGGGGCAACCCCUCGAGAGUGGCGAACGGGUGAGUAAUAUAUCGGAACGUGCCCAGUCGUGGGGGAUAACGUAGCGAAAGUUACGCUAAUACCGCAUACGAUCUAUGGAUGAAAGCGGGGGACUAAGGCAGCAAUGUUUGGCCUCGCGCCUUUGGAGCGGCCGAUGUCAGAUUUAGGGUAGUUGGUGGGGUAAAGGCCUACCAAGCCGACGAUCUGUAGCUGGUCUGAGAGGACGACCAGCCACACUGGGACUGAGACACGGCCCAGGACUCCUACGGGAGGCAGCAGUGGGGAAUUUUGGACAAUGGCGCAAGCCUGAUCCAGCAAUGCCGCGUGCAGG